rnacentral:rRNA from 1 species
UACGAAGGGGGCUAGCGUUGCUCGGAAUCACUGGGCGUAAAGCGCACGUAGGCGGCUUUUUAAGUCAGAGGUGAAAUCCUGGAGCUCAACUCCAGAACUGCCUUUGAUACUGAGAGGCUUGAGUCCGGGAGAGGUGAGUGGAACUGCGAGUGUAGAGGUGAAAUUCGUAGAUAUUCGCAAGAACACCAGUGGCGAAGGGCGGCUCACUGGCCCGGUACUGACGCUGAGGUGCGAAAGCGUGGGGAGCAAACAGG